CCCUUAGAUGUUCUGGGCCGCACACGCGCUAUACUGAAGGAGGCAGCGUGUACUCCUGGAUCGAAAGAUUUGGGUAACCCGCGAAUCUCCUUCGUGCUAGGGAUUGAGGUUUGCAAUUAUCCUUCAUGAACGAGGAAUUCCCAGUAAGUGCAAGUCAUAAGCUUGCGCUGACUACGUCCCUGCCCUUUGUACACACCGCCCGUCGCUACUACCGAUUGAAUGAUUUAGUGAGGACUUCGGACUGGGACCGAUGCGGCUUUCGGGCUGCGUCGGUAUUCUGGAAAGAUGUCCAAACUGUAUCAUUUAGAGGAAGUAAAAGUCGUAACA
rnacentral:rRNA from 1 species